rnacentral:rRNA from 1 species
GAUGAACGCUGGCGGCGUGCUUAACACAUGCAAGUCGAACGGUGAACGAGGGAGCUUGCUCCCUCCGGAUCAGUGGCGAACGGGCGAGUAACACGUGAGCAAUCUGCCCCGAACUCUGGGAUAAGCGCUGGAAACGGCGUCUAAUACCGGAUACGACGCGCGAAGGCAUCUUCUGCGCGUGGAAAGAAUUUCGGUUCGGGAUGAGCUCGCGGCCUAUCAGCUAGUUGGUGAGGUAACGGCUCACCAAGGCGACGGCGGGUAGCCGGCCUGAGAGGGUGACCGGCCACACUGUGACUGAGACACGGCCCAGACUCCUACGGGAGGCAGCAGUGGGGAAUAUUGCACAAUGGGCGCAAGCCUGAUGCAGCAACGCCGCGUGAGGGACGACGGCCUUCGGGUUGUAACCCUCUUUUAGUAGGGAAGAAGCGAAAGUGACGGUACCUGCAGAAAAAGCACCGGCUAACUACGUGCCAGCAGCCGCUGUAACAC